GUGUCAGCAGCCGCGGUAAAACCAGCACCUCAAGUGGUCAGGAGGAUUAUUGGGCCUAAAGCAUCCGUAGCCUGUUCUAUAAGUUUGCGGUUAAAUCUAUACGCUCAACGUAUAGGCUGCUGUAAAUACUGUAGAACUAGGGAGUGGGAGAGGUAGACGGUACUCGGUAGGAAGGGGUAAAAUCCUUUGAUCUAUCGAUGACCACCUGUGGCGAAGGCGGUCUACCAGAACACGUUCGACGGUGAGGGAUGAAAGCUGGGGGAGCAAACCGGAUUAGAUACCCGGGUAGUCCCAGCUGUAAACGAUGCAGACUCGAUGAUGCAAUGGCAUAGAGCUAUUGCAGUAUCGCAGGGAAGCCGUUAAGUCUGCCGCCUGGGAAGUACGUACGCAAGUAUGAAACUUAAAGGAAUUGGCGGGGGAGCACCACAAGGGGUGAAGCCUGCGGUUCAAUUGGAGUCAACGCCAGAAAUCUUACCCGGAGAGACAGCAGAAUGAAGGUCAGGCUGAAGACCUUACCAGACAAGCUGAGAGGUGGUGCAUGGCCGUCGUCAGCUCGUGCCGUGAGAUGUCCUGUUAAGUCAGGUAACGAGCGAGAUCCCUGCCACUAGUUGCUAUUAUUACUCUCAGGAGUAGUGGGGCGAAUUAGUGGGACCGCCACAGUUAAUGUGGAGGAAGGAAGGGGCCACGGCAGGUCAGUAUGCCCCGAAACUCUGGGGCCACACGCGGGCUGCAAUGGUAGUGACAAUGGGCUCCUAACUCGAAAGAGAGAGGCAAUCCACAAACACUACCACAGUUAUGACUGAGGGCUGUAACUCGCCCUCACGAAUAUGGAAUCCCUAGUAACUGCGUGUCAUUACCGCGCGGUGAAUACGUCCCUGCUCCUUGCACACACCGCCCGUC
rnacentral:rRNA from 1 species